rnacentral:rRNA from 1 species
GAGGCUGCCAUGGGAGAGCGCUCCCGAGGAGGAUGCGGAUCGGUGGACAAAUGGACAGCUCUUCCCGACGAGGGUAACCAAGUCCACGAAGAUUUUGUCCCAAAGGAAAUUAUGGCUUUCGUCACCGAUGAGGAAGGGUAUGAAUUUUAUCAACAAUAUGCAAGAUCAGAAGGUUUUGGUAUUACCAAGCUCAAGCGGAAGCCGAUGUCGCGUCUGUAUGCAUGCUCCUGGGGAGGUCCCAGUACAUUUUACAAGCCUGGGGAGGAACGCAAACGUGCGAAAAUGUCCAAGAAGGUUAACUGUGGGGCAGCUGUUAAAAUCAAGAAAAGGGGGAAAGAAUGGAUAUAUGAGAAAGUGAUGUUGGAGCACAAUCAUACUCUGAAUCCUAAUCCAUCUGAAUUGAAGCACAUGUAUUCACAUAAGAACAAAGAUCCUCUUAUCAUGGAGGUUUUUGAUGAUCUGCAGACCUACGACGUC